rnacentral:rRNA from 1 species
CGGCGAGUGAAGCGGCAACAGCUCAAAUUUGAAAUCUGGCCUCGGCCCGAGUUGUAAUUUGCAGAGGAUGCUUCUGGCGCGGGUGCCUUUCGAGUUCCCUGGAACGGGACGCCACAAGGGUGAGAGCCCCGUAUGGUCGGACACCAAGCCUGUGUGAAGCUCCUUCGACGAGUCGAGUAGUUUGGGAAUGCUGCUCUAAAUGGGAGGUAAAUCUCUUCUAAAGCUAAAUACCGGCCAGAGACCGAUAGCGCACAAGUAGAGUGAUCGAAAGAUGAAAAGCACCUUGAAAAGGGGGUUAAAUAGUACGUGAAAUUGUUGAAAGGGAAGCACUUAUGACCAGACUUGGGCCGGGCGGCUCAUCAGGGGUUCUCCCCUGUGCACUCCGCCCGGCACAGGCCAGCAUCGGUUCUCGUGGGGGGAUAAGACCGUCAGGAACGUAGCACCCUCCGGGGUGUGUUAUAGCCUGGCGGACGAUACCCCCGUGGGGACCGAGGUCCGCGCUCCGCAAGGAUGCUGGCGUAAU